rnacentral:lncRNA from 1 species
CAGCAUGUUUUAGGUGUGGUCAGGAGGGACAUGUAGUUCGUGAGUGUCGUACUGCACCUUGGAUAGCUCAGUCUCAGCGGACAUUUUUAAGUAGAGUUGUUCAACAGGAGGCAGCCACAUCAGACCCAGUAGUGCCAGGUAUGUUCAUUUUGUUAUGAAUGUUCUGAUGUGUUUUGAGGAUUCUCAUAGGAUGUCUUUUGUUGUAAUCGAAGUAAAAGAUAAAUAGAUAGAAUUUCAAAGAAGAGUUAAAGAGAGAGUUAUUAUGAGAUGUUAGGAUCUCAGGUUUUCAUAAACCUAGGCAUAGUGAGAAUUGAUUUCUCAAGAAGAAUAAGAGUAAAUAAGGCAGAAAAUAGAACAAGAAGUAAAAAGAGUAACAGGAAGUAUGAAUAAGUAGAAGGAUAAGAUGGGUCAGAGUAAGAGGAAAAGAAAAGGAAGGUAAGUUCAUAAAGAGACUAGAGUUAGUCUGGGAUUAGGUGGUAGUGAGGCA